CCUGGGCCUGAUUCAAGUAAUCCAGGAUAGGUUUGUUCAGAAAGGUAAAGCCUAUUCUGCAUGACUUGGUUCAGGACUAUG
rnacentral:pre_miRNA from 1 species